CACGCUGUAAACGAUGAGUACUAGGUGUCGGGGGUUACCCCCCUCGGUGCCGCAGCUAACGCAUUAAGUACUCCGCCUGGGAAGUACGCUCGCAAGAGGGAAACUCAAAGGAAUUGACGGAGACCCGAACAAGUAGCGGAGCAUGUGGUUUAAUUCGAAGCAACGCGAAGAACCUUACCUAAGCUUGACAUCCCAAUGACAUCUCCUUAAUCGGAGAGUUCCCUUC
rnacentral:rRNA from 1 species